AUGAUAUUCUCCAAUGACCUCUAUUUUCAAUUAAUUUAUCCAUAUUCUAAAUGUCAUUCUUUCUUUUUUUUUCCUACUAAACAACAACUCCAAAUAAAGAACCAGCUCCAGCUCCAGCUCCCGAACCAGCUCCAGCUCCCUCUGAAAACCAAGCACCACAGCAAUCUGCAGAACCUGCUCCAGCUCCAGCUCCAGCUCCCGGUAAGUAGCAGUCUUUCUGUCCAUCAGCCAAUCUUUCCUGUAUUCUUAUUGUCCAAAAGGUGUUGUCUCUCAUUGUAGAACACUUGAACACUUUUUUUCCUUAAAGAAAGCAACCAAUGAAUCAAUGGCUAAUUAUUAAUAGAAAGGAUCAAGUUAAUAGGGAGUAUUCUCACUUUCCAUAGAGUAUGCAUGGUGUACACAGGCAAAUAAUCCAGAAUUGCCAUCCAUUUUUCAGGCUCAGAUUUGGGGCUGGGCAAUAGAUUCUCUUACCUUCUAUCCAAAAUUGGGGGGGGGUUCUUCUUAGUAAAUGAAGGUUUAAUGGGGCAAAAAAGAGGCUUCAAUUUGCCAUUUUGCUAAGUUGAAAGGUGUCCCCAGUUUGAACAAGAGCCACAAGACUUGGUCAGGCAGUAGAAAUCAAUUAUAAAUUUUGGAGAAAUUCUAUUUAUAUUGACCGAGAAACAUUUCUUUUUCUAUUUACAUCAUAUUGUUUCAAUGAUAUUCUCCAAUGACCUCUAUUUUCAAUUAAUUUCAUCCAUAUUCUAAAUGCCAUUCUUUCUUUUUUUUUUCUACUAAACAACAACUCCAAAUACAGAACCAGCUCCAGCUCCAGCUCCUGGUAAGUAGCAGUCUUUAUGUUGGCAGUCAUUCUUUCCUGUCUUCUUAUUGUCUAAAGGAAGUUGUCUGACAUUCUAGAGCACUUGAACACUUUCUUCCUUAAUGAAAUCAACUGAUUAAUCAGUGGCACAUCUUUAACAGAAAAGAUCAAGUUAAUAGGGAAUAUUCUCACUUGCCAUAGCAUAUGAAUUGGGUACUCAGGAAAAUAAUACAGAAUUGCCAUCCAUUUUUCAGGCUCAGAUUUGGGGCUGGGCAAUAGAAUCUCUUACCUUCCAUCCAAUGUUUUGGGGGUUUUUUUUCUUACUGAAAGAUCAUUCAAUCGGUCAAAAAAGAGGCUUCAAUUUGCCAUUUUGCUAAGUUGAAAGGUGUCCCCAGUUUGAACAAGAGCCACAAGACUUGGUCAGGCAGUAGAAAUCAAUUAUAAAUUUUGGAGAAUUCUAUUCUAUUCCACAGAGGAACAUUUCUUUUUCUAUUUCUGUAGUAUUUUUUCAACCUUAUUCUCCAAGCAUCUCUAUUUUCCAUUAACUCCAUCUCUCUUGACAACUCCUUGCUUUCCUGUUUGUCUGGCUACACAGCUGCCCAAAAGCCACUCUGAGCCACAGUUACAGUAAAUCCUUCAAAACUCUUUCUUUCUUCUCUCCCUGUAGUUUCUGGGCUUGUCAACUUCUCUCAUUCUAGGACCUUUGCCCAUUCAUCUUCUUGAAUACAACCACCCAGGAAUAGUGUGUAAUUGUGAAUGAGUCUGCCCAAGUAGGAAGUCAAUAAGAUGCUUCAUUCUCACUUUCCAACGCAUAUAAAUGCUGAAAUGAGGACAAAUAAUUUCAGUUUACUGUCCUUUGCUAGACAUUGUUUUGGUUACAAUUUUUCUCUUAGUUUCUUUUUCCUCAUUUCUCUUGUUCAACACUUUGGGGAAAAAAAAAAAACCUGUCUGGAGGAAAUCAACCUAUUAUGUUCAAUUUAACUGACAUUCUAGCUCACUGAGAGAACAAUAUGAAAGGCAGUGGUCAAGCCAAUAGAAAUCAUUUACAAAUUUCAUGGAACCUCUGUUAGUAUUCCCAGCAUAAGUUUUUUUUUUUAUUUACAUCAUACUGGUUCAACCUUUUUCUCCAAAUGCCUCUUUUUCAAUCAAUUCGACCCACAUCAUUGUUGUGAUUCUCUCUUCUUGGUUUUUCUUCCCUUUAGCUGAAAACCAAGAACCACAGCAAUCUGCAGGUAAGUAGCAGUCUUUAUUGCUUCAAUCAUUGUUUCCUUUCUCCUUACUGUCCCCAGGAAAUGCCUGAUAUUCUAGAACACUUGGACAUUUUCCCUGUUCAAGAGAGCCACCAAUGAAUCAGUGGCUCAUCUUUAACAGAAAGGAUCAAGCUAAUAGGGUACAUUCUCUCUUGCCAUAGAGUAUGUGUGGGGUACUAAGGAAAAUAAAUCAGAAUUGCCAUCCA
rnacentral:lncRNA from 1 species